AUGCCAGUGUGGGUACUGUUUGUGUUCGUUUUAGCAGCUUGGAAAGGUGCCCAGUCCCAGAUGCAGCUGGUGGAGUCCGGGGGGGCUGUUAGAAAUGAAGGGGAGUCCAUCCGGCUCUCCUGUAAAGGCUCCGGCUUCACCUUCAGCAGCUCCGAUAUGUUCUGGUACCGGCAGAGUCCCGGGGAAAGUCCAGAGUUUGUCUCACGCAUUUACUACGAUGGGUCUAGUCCGUAUUACGCGGCUUGGGUCCAAGGGCGAUUCACCAUCUCCAGAGACAACGCCAAGAGCGAGCUGUACCUGGGAAUGAGCCGCCUGAGACAGCAGGACACGGCCCGGUAUCACUGCUCUGCUAGAGAGGCACAGUGCGGAGGUGCCGGU